rnacentral:rRNA from 1 species
GUCAGCAGCCAUGUCACCCUGCAGCUCCCAGCUGACAGCCCCACUGGAGCUCAGCAGGUAUGAGUGAGGUCAGUACCUGGAUGGGAGACCUCUUGGGAAAAAGGUUGCUGCUGGAA